UAGUCCACACCGUAAACGAUGAGAGCUAGUUGUCUGCAAGCAUGCUUGUAGGUGACGCAGCUAACGCAUUAAGCUCUCCGCCUGGGGAGUACGGUCGCAAGAUUAAAACUCAAAGAAAUUGACGGGGGCCCGCACAAGCGGUGGAGCAUGUGGUUUAAUUCGAAGCAACGCGCAGAACCUUACCUACCCUUGACAUGCCGGUCGCGAUUUCCAGAGAUGGAUUUCUUCAAUUCGGUUGGACCGUGCACAAGUGCUGCAUGGCCGUCGUCAGCUCGUGUUGUGAAAUGUUGGGUUAAGUCCCGCAACGAGCGACAACCCUUACCUUUAUUUGCCAGCAUUUAGUUGGGCACUCUAAAGGGACUGCCGACGUUAAGCCGGAGGAAGGUGGGGAUGACGUCAAGUCCUCAUGGCCCUUACGUGGUGGGCUACACACGUGCUACAAUGGCAGUGACAAUGGGUUAAUCCCAAAAAGCUGUCUCAGUUCGGAUUGUCGGCUGCAACUCGCCGG
rnacentral:rRNA from 1 species